CUAAUUUCAGUGAGCGUAGUUGAUGUGGACAUAUUAACAGGUGACCUCCAGUGUAUGGUUGAUAAACUAGGAAGCGAUCCUACCGAACAGCAAUGUGAACAAUAUGGACACUCAUACCUGACCGGCCUCCUGGAAUCAUUCUGUAGCCUCUCAUAUGUCAUGGGUUCCAGGAGCUUGUUCAUCAUUUCAGUAUUGUACAGCAAGGCAAUGGUACUUCGUGUGCCUAAGCAAAGAGAUUGAGUUGAAUGCGAAGAUCAGUGGACACCCCGACUUUUUAUUCUGAAAUAUGGACAUUUUGAAAUAAAUCUAGCAUAUUAA
rnacentral:lncRNA from 1 species